GCAAGUCGAGCGCUACCUUCGGGUGGAGCGGCGGACGGGUUAGUAACGCGUGGGAACGUGCCCUUCUCUACGGAAUAGCCUCGGGAAACUGAGAGUAAUACCGUAUACGCCCUUCGGGGGAAAGAUUUAUCGGAGAAGGAUCGGCCCGCGUCUGAUUAGAUAGUUGGUGGGGUAAUGGCCUACCAAGUCUACGAUCAGUAGCUGGUUUUAGAGGAUGAUC
rnacentral:rRNA from 1 species